rnacentral:rRNA from 1 species
CCUACGGGCGGCAGCAGUCGAGAAUCAUUCACAAUGGGGGAAACCCUGAUGGUGCGACGCCGCGUGGGGGAAUGAAGGUCUUCGGAUUGUAAACCCCUGUCAUGUGGGAGCAAAGGAAAAAGAUAGUACCACAUGAGGAAUAGACGGCUAACUCUGUGCCAGCAGCCGCGGUAAUACAGAGGUCUCAAGCGUUGUUCGGAUUAACUGGGCGUAAAGCGUGCGUAGGCUGUUUCGUAAGUCGUGUGUGAAAGGCGCGGGCUCAACCCGCGGACGGCACAUGAUACUGCGAGACUAGAGUAAGGGAGGGGGAACCGGAAUUCUCGGUGUAGCAGUGAAAUGCGUAGAUAUCGAGAGGAACACUCGUGGCGAAGGCAGGUUCCUGGACAUUAACUGACGCUGAGGCACGAAGGCCAGGGGAGCGAAAGGGAUUAGAUACCCUUGUAGUC